rnacentral:rRNA from 1 species
GACGAACGCUGGCGGCGUGCUUAACACAUGCAAGUCGAACGGAAAGGCCCUGCUUUUGUGGGGUGCUCGAGUGGCGAACGGGUGAGUAACACGUGAGUAACCUGCCCUUGACUUUGGGAUAACUUCAGGAAACUGGGGCUAAUACCGGAUAGGAGCUCCUGCUGCAUGGUGGGGGUUGGAAAGUUUCGGCGGUUGGGGAUGGACUCGCGGCUUAUCAGCUUGUUGGUGGGGUAGUGGCUUACCAAGGCUUUGACGGGUAGCCGGCCUGAGAGGGUGACCGGCCACCUUGGGACUGAGGUACGGCCCAGACUCCUACGGGAGGCAGCAGUGGGGAAUCUUGCACAAUGGGCCGAAGCCUGAUGCAGCAACGCCGCGUGCGGGAUGACGGCCUUCGGGUUGUAAACCGCUUUCGCCUGUGACGACGCGUGAGUGACGGUAAUGGGUAAAGAAGCACCGGCUAACUACGUG